rnacentral:lncRNA from 1 species
AUUUUGAUAAUGAAAGUAUUGGAUGACAAAGUAUUUGUAGAAUUCAACAAUGAGAAUUUAUUGGACAAUGUAAUCACAUUGGAAGAUGAUAAUUUAGGAGGAGAUGUUGUGAUUUUGCCUAAGGUGGGUGUGAAGUUCAGCCAUAAAAAAGAGUUGUUUCAAUUUUACGAAAGUUAUGCGUAUGACAUAGUUUUUUUGGUUAGGAGAAAGAAUUCUGGAAAAGCUGAGGCCUGAUUAGUAAGAUACAUUAUGCUAACAUAUAGUAAUGAGGGACGAAGAAGCUAUAACACAAGCUCUUUGAAGCCACAACCAACAAUUCGGGCAGGUUGAAAAGUAAGGCUAACUACUUCUUCAGAUAUUCGUGGAAUAUAGAAAAUCUGCAUAGUCGACCUCGAACACAAUCAUAAAACAAGGCCAUCAAAGUCCAUGUUGUAUCGAUGCAACCAAGAAUUGAGUGGACAUGUAAUACGGAAGCUAAUAGUGAAUGAUACGGCCGGAAUUUCUUUACACAAAGUCACAACUCUAUAGUUACAGUUCGUUGGAUCAUUUGAAGAAGGUUGGAAAGUGAUGAUUGAUAUAUAUAACUUAUAUGAUAAUGAAUAGUUUUCGGGUUUGUGUGAGAAUAAGGAUCGAUGGAUGCCAUGCUAUUUGAAAACGACCUUUAGGAUAGUGAUGUCAACUAUUUAACACAGUGAGAAUACGAAUGUGUUCUUCGAUGGGUAUGUUCAUUCUAAGACAUCGUUGAAGCAACUCGUAGAACAAUACGAACAAACAUUGUGAAAUAAGUUUGAGAAGAAGUUUCAAGCAGAUUGCAAGUCAUACUAGAGACGGUGCCUUGUGCAACAAAAUACGAAAUGGAAAAGCAAUUUUAGGCAAUUUAUACCAUAUCCAAGUUUCAAGAAUUUCAAGAUAAGAUAUCUGGAAAGGUGUACUACGAUGUUAUAUUUGAAUCGGAUGGAUGUUCGGGGAAGACAUAAGAGGUUGAGGAGAAUAUCAUUUACGAAGAAAAUGUGAGAAGAAAAAAUUUCGACAGUCUUUCAUGCAGAGGAGUGAGAUAUUAUUUGUAGUUAUCAUCUUUUCGAGUUUCAAGGAAUUUUAUGCAAAUAUGCCAUAUCAGUGUUGAUGCAUAAUGACAUCAUAUCAACAACUGAUAGGCGUAUAUUGAGGAGAUGGAUGAGAGAUGUUUGUACAACCCACACGAGGACAGCAAUGAACUAUGAUAGUUUGGUUAGCACUCUUGGCCAGUUGAGGUAUGACAGAACGUGUGAAGCUUUUGCUACGUUGAUAGACAUUAUCGCAGAUGAUGAAGAGUGAACUCGUGCAAUAAUAGAUUGGAUUCAGUUGAAAUCUAAGGAUAUAAUGUCUACAAAGUUGAUUUGUGGAAGUAAUAGCAUUUCCCAACCUGGUUUGAAUUUAUGAUCCCAAUCUAGAGCAUCACAUGACACAUGCAGUGGAAAUAUAUGAGAUCCUAAAUGCUCAAAAAUGAAGGACGGGCCAAAGAAACUUCGUAAUAAAAGCCCAUUGAAGUCAUGUUCUAAGAAAUCAAAGGUAUUAUGUUCUUGUUUUUUUAUGCCUUUAUGUAUACAAAUGAAUAGAAAAUAUAAAAUAUUGUAAUGUCGUACAGGCAACAUCGACUUCAAACAAAAGAUGGAGACCGAGAUCGAGAAACGGUAAUCUUGGACAUCAUACACCACAGACUGCAAAAGAAUCCAUACCAAUACCUUUACCCUUGUCAUUUCACUAGUUAUAUUCGUAAGUAAAUAUUUUUAUUAAGACAUUUAUCAGGCGCAAUUUGUAAUUACAUUUUAAUUUUACGUAGGGUGCGAGGAAAGUCAUGCAGUUAC